AUAACACUUAGAAAUAGGUGCUAAUACCGCAUAAGCGCACGGAGCUGCAUGGCUUUGUGUGAAAAACUGAGGUGGUGUAAGAUGGACCCGCGUCUGAUUAGCUAGUUGGCGGGGUAACGGCCCACCAAGGCGACGAUCAGUAGCCGGCCUGAGAGGGUGGACGGCCACAUUGGGACUGAGACACGGCCCAAACUCCUACGGGAGGCAGCAGUGGGGGAUAUUGGACAAUGGGGGGAACCCUGAUCCAGCGACGCCGCGUGAGUGAAGAAGUAUUUCGGUAUGUAAAGCUCUAUCAGCAGGGAAGAAAGAAAUGACGGUACCUGAGUAAGAAGCCCCGGCUAACUACGUGCCAGCAGCCGCGGUAAUACGUAGGGGGCAAGCGUUAUCCGGAAUUACUGGGUGUAAAGGGAGCGUAGACGGUAAAGCAAGUCUGGAGUGAAAGGCUGGGGCCCAACCCCGGGACUGCUCUGGAAACUGUUAAACUGGAGUGCAGGAGAGGCAGGCGGAAUUCCUAGUGUAGCGGUGGAAUGCGUAGAUAUUAGGAGGAACACCAGUGGCGAAGGCGGCCUGCUGGACUGUAACUGACGUUGAGGCUCGAAAGCGUGGGGAGCAAACAGGAUUAGAUACCCUGGUAGUCCACGCCGUAAACGAUGAUUACUAGGUGUUGGUGGGUAUGGACCCAUCGGUGCCGGAGCAAACGCAUUAAGUAAUCCACCUGGGGAGUACGUUCGCAAGAAUGAAACUCAAAGGAAUUGACGG
rnacentral:rRNA from 1 species